ACGGCCUGGAUGUUGGGCAGGACGCCGCCCUGUGCGAUCGUCACUUUGCCCAGCAGCUUGUUGAGCUCCUCGUCGUUGCGGAUGGCCAGCUGCAGGUGGCGCGGGAUGAUGCGUGUCUUCUUGUUGUCGCGGGCCGCGUUG
ensembl:miRNA Gm44492 predicted gene, 44492